UGGGCAACCUGCCCCUAGCUCUGGGAUAACUGCGGGAAACUGUAGCUAAUACCGGAUGUGACACGAGACUGCAUGGGGAAGGGUUGAAAGCUCCGGCGGUGCAGGAUGAGCCCGCGGCCUAUCAGCUUGUUGGUGGGGUGAUGGCCUACCAAGGCGACGACGGGUAGCCGGCCUGAGAGGGCGACCGGCCACACUGGGACUGAGACACGGCCCAGACUCCUACGGGAGGNA
rnacentral:rRNA from 1 species